rnacentral:rRNA from 1 species
CUGAACCAGCCAAGUAGCGUGAAGGAUGACUGCCCUAUGGGUUGUAAACUUCUUUUAUAAAGGAAUAAAGUCGGGUAUGCAUACCCGUUUGCAUGUACUUUAUGAAUAAGGAUCGGCUAACUCCGUGCCAGCAGCCGCGGUAAUACGGAGGAUCCGAGCGUUAUCCGGAUUUAUUGGGUUUAAAGGGAGCGUAGGCGGGUUGUUAAGUCAGUUGUGAAAGUUUGCGG